rnacentral:tRNA from 1 species
GCCUGGGUGGCUCAGUUGGUUGAGUGUCUGACUUCAGCUCAGGUCAUGAUCUCAUGGUUCGUGGGUUCGAGCCCCCCGUCAGGCU